rnacentral:misc_RNA from 1 species
AACUUGUAGCAAGGGAUCACUUGGGUCUCGCAGCGAUGAAGAACGCAGCGAAAUGCGAUAAGUAAUGUGAAUUGCAGAAUUCAGUGAAUCAUCGAAUCUUUGAACGCACCUUGCGCCCUUUGGCUAUUCCGAAGGGCAUGCCUGUUUGAGUAUCAUGAACACCUCAACUCUCAGGGUUUGCCAUGAUGAGCUUGGACUCUGGAGGUCUUGCUGGCUCAUGGUCAGCUCCUCUUAAAUGAAUCAGCUCUCCAGUGUUUGGUGGCAUCACAGGUGUGAUAACUAUCUACGCUUGUGGUGUCCUCCCAGGUAACCUCCGAGCAUGGAGGUCGCUGGAGCUAAUAAACGCACAUCUCUCAUUGUAGAGAUGGCUUUUUAGAUGUUUGAUCUCAAAUCAGGUAGGACUACCCGCUGAACUUAAGCAUAUCAAUAAGCGGAGGCU